rnacentral:rRNA from 1 species
AUUGAACGCUGGCGGCAUGCCUUACACAUGCAAGUCGAACGGUAACGCGGGGCAACCUGGCGACGAGUGGCGAACGGGUGAGUAAUGCAUCGGAACGUGCCCAGUAGUGGGGGAUAGCCCGGCGAAAGCCGGAUUAAUACCGCAUACGACCUACGGGUGAAAGGGGGGGAUCGCAAGACCUCUCGCUAUUUGAGCGGCCGAUGUCAGAUUAGGUAGUUGGUGGGGUAAAGGCCUACCAAGCCGACGAUCUGUAGCUGGUCUGAGAGGACGACCAGCCGCACUGGGACUGAGACACGGCCCAGACUCCUACGGGAGGCAGCAGUGGGGAAUUUUGGACAAUGGGCGAAAGCCUGAUCCAGCCAUGCCGCGUGCGGGAAGAAGGCCUUCGGGUUGUAAACCGCUUUUGUCAGGGAAGAAAUCUUCUGGGUUAAUACCUCGGGAGGAUGACGGUACCUGAAGAAUAAGCACCGGCUAACUACGUGCCAGCAGCCGCGGUAACAC